rnacentral:rRNA from 1 species
AGGGAAUCUUGCGCAAUGGGCGAAAGCCUGACGCAGCAACGCCGCGUGGGGGAUGAAGGCUCUCGGGUUGUAAACCCCUUUCAGCAGGGACGAAAUUGACGGUACCUGCAGAAGAAGCCCCGGCCAACUACGUGCCAGCAGCCGCGGUAACACGUAGGGGGCAAGCGUUGUCCGGAUUUAUUGGGCGUAAAGAGCUCGUAGGCGGUUCAGUAAGUCGGGUGUGAAAACUUAGGGCUCAACCCUGAGACGCCACUCGAUACUGCUGUGACUAGAGUCCGGUAGGGGAGCGUGGAAUUCCUGGUGUAGUGGUGGAAUACGCAGAUAUCAGGAGGAACACCAGCGGCGAAGGCGGCGCUCUGGGCCGGAACUGACGCUGAGGAGCGAAAGCGUGGGUAGCAAAC